GAAUUUUCCAGACCACGGGAGGUCAAUAGUGUCUAGCAGCCUUACCAACACUUCCACUGCUCACUGGGCUGUUAGAAGGCAUUCAGGGAUUAAUUAAACCAUGCAUCGCAGCGCCUGGCUCCGGCGCCACGGUGAAGAUGUAGCAACGCCGUCCGGAGAAUGAGCUGACUUCUCUCCAGGCAGCCCUUAGAAACCUCGAUACGACGAAGAGGCUUGCCCCUCUCGCCAGGUCCACGCCGGAGAAUGAAACGGCUGGUGAUGGAGCGGGCGGGGUGGUGUCAUUGCUUACACAGCGUAGGCACUAGUGGUGCGGAGCGUUCCCACUCGCCAUUCUGUUCGGGGUUCAGCUGCCUUGGAGCAACUCAGGCUAGCAAGGGGAGCCUGGUGAAAUGAGUCCACCCACAUCUCUACAUGCUGUAUCUUAAAUGGAUUGGAGCGACUGUCGGACUUACAGCAUGGAAGGCUCUGUUCGGGCAGAAACAGACAUGCACUUUUCAAGCCACAUCACACAACCUGAAGCCAAUGCCAAAGGCUAUCAGUAAAUCACACCCCAACGUCAGGCUCAAGAGCCUGUCACUCCGACAGAAUUGGAAUAACCCAACGGAUCUGGAAAAAAAUCCCACCCAAGAUUGUAUUGCACACAACAGGAAAAUAGCCUCCAUCCACCCCAGGACUCCACGGCUUUCUUGCCUGUUUGGAGGUGGAGUCAUGGUUGCAAAAGUUCCACCGUGAUAAUAUCUUACUUCUGUAAACAUCAUCUGUCUCGUUUUGUUCUCGUCUUUUGCUGUUCUGUCUGUCGAACCAUUUAAACAGGCAUUCAUACAAGUUAGUUGACGUGUCAGAUAGAAUUAAUAAGGCAUUAAUAAGACACAAUGUGAAGGGGUGGACUGGAGGCCCCCUUGUGGCCCUGC